rnacentral:rRNA from 1 species
UACGUAGGGGGCAAGCGUUGUCCGGAUUUAUUGGGCGUAAAGAGCGUGUAGGCGGCCAGGUAGGUCGGUUGUGAAAACUCGAGGCUCAACCUCGAGACGUCGGCGGAAACCAUCUGGCUAGAGUCCGGAAGAGGAGAGUGGAAUUCCUGGUGUAGCGGUGAAAUGCGCAGAUAUCAGGAAGAACACCCGUGGCGAAGGCGGCUCUCUGGGACGGUACUGACGCUGAGACGCGAAAGCGUGGGGAGCGAACAGG